GCAAAGAUGUGGAAUUGACCAUGUUUGUCUGAGAGCCUCAGCAUUAGACUGGCUCACUUUGCAACUGUGUGGUGGCAGGCAACACAGCUGUAAGCAAGCCCAGGAGCUGUGACAUUCUCUGAAUUUUGGAGUCACAGAAUAAAGUUAUUCUUUUGGUUCUACUUGCUUGGAUAUCAUAAAAUCACUUCCAUCAUUCAGCACUAUUAAAUUGCUUGUUGAAGAUGGUGGAUACACUGGCUCAGAAAAUGUGAGGUAGUAUCUCAGGAAUGGGUCGAUGAGUGUCUGUUGAGUUAAGGUAAUGUCUCUGCUUGCCCCAUGUUGUUUGUAGUCCCUUCACAGUGGUGAAGAGAGAGCUGAAGUUAAUCCUCAGUGACACCGUGAUUAUCAGGACCUGAGCUAAGGCUUUUAGUGGAGUUCUAGUUGACAGCUUCAAAUUUUUUUUUUUUUUGAGAAGGUGGAAAUUGGUGGAUAUGAUCCAUCUGCAUCUCUCGAUGUAUUUAUUUUUAUAUUGCAUCUUCUGUCUUUUAAGAAUCUUAUAAUAGUAAUCAAAUACCUCUCUGAACCAGUUGAAGAUGUUUACUUUGAGCUGAAUUGCAUUAAAAUUUUAUUUUUUUAUAUAUAGGAAAUUUAUAAUGGACAUGUGUAAUUGCUUCACUUUGCUGUACAUUUGAAACUAAUAGAAGUUAUAAGUCCAAUAAAUUCUAAUUAUUUCUUUAGUUUGUUUUUGCAUUCUAUUAAAUGAAAUGAAACAAACAAAAAUGUUGUAUGUAGCAUGUGUAAAUUUUAUGGAGUGUUCUAAGCACCAGUUUCUUUUUCACCAGUAGGUGUUAAAAAUGAUAACUUAUUUUUCAUUUGGAAAAACACUGAUGUUCUGUAGAUUAUUUUGGACUAAAUUAUAACUUAACUAGAGAGAAAAAAUAUAUAUAGUUGUUAUACUAUAUGUCAGUUCCUUCCAAAUGGUAGUAAACCUAAUGGUAUCUUCUCUCUGAAUGAAUUAAAAUAUUUCCUGGAGCAAUAAUGUUUUCAAUAUCCCAGAAGCUGCUUUAAUGUGUCUCAGCAAGCAUAAUAUAGUGGCAAUAUAAAUGAUGCAGACUUUGCCUCAAAAUAAGUAAUAACCCACAUUAAUUCUUUGUGAACAUUUUAUACUAUCAAACUGGAAACUAAAAUGAAGAGAUCAUAUCUGUUAUGUGGAAAGAAGGUCUUGUUUUGCACCAACUAUUUAAUAAGAACCGCUAGAAGACCUAGAAAAUGUAAAGUGCAUGUAUCUGAGAUCAUUAGAAACUAAAAGGUCAAGGAUUUGUGUGGCUCAUAUUUUGAAAAUGGAAGUCAGAUAGCUAAACUUGAAUCUGAGGUCCUGUUUUUGCUAAAGAUAUGGGCAGAUACUAAAAACCACGUAUGUAAGGCUGGUGUUACUGAGGCUAUAAGGUAGGCCAGCAGCUUUAGCUCCAAUUCAGCAGUGCACCUGGGAACCUCCAUAUGCUACUGGCAAAGCCAUUAAAAAACAGAUCUUAAUAUACAUGAGAAGAUGCCUAAUAUUACUAAUUUUUAGAGAAGUGCAAAUCAAAAGUAUAAUAGGAAUCACCUACCAAUGCUCAGAAUAGCCAUCAUCAAAAAUUCUACAGAAAAAUAAAUGCUGAGAAGAUGCGAAAGGGGAACACUCCUAUGCUG